CGGGCCAGCGGAUAAAACGUGUUUCUCCGGUCGUGAAUGACAGCGGGAAGGAGGAAGAGGAGGAAGCGGAGAGGAAGCAAGGAACAGCGGUGAUUGUGUGAUCUUAGCGGGUGGGGGAGGGGAGGCUGCAGUCUAUGAAGAGACCAGACCUUUCCUCCCCAAACGCAAACUCAAGCUUUUUCAGAGGAAUUCCCAACUGAGGCCCACCUCUCCUGGAGCAGGAAGAGGUGGGCCUCAGGUCCAAGUUGGAGCCUUGCUAAUGGAGAAAGGGCUCCGUGUGGCCUAAGACGCAGCAGCUAGUCCACCCUCUUCUACGCCCACAGCACAUGCUUUGUGGAUCAGGCCGCAGUCAAAGGGAAAUACACCUUGGCAGUCAGAUUCUUGGCUGACCACCGACUUCAGACCUAACAAUAUUCAGUGUAUAAUUUCCCAAAACAAAUUAAAACAAGAAUUUAUCGAAUUUAUCUUAAAUGAUUUAUCAUAUGGCUGCCUAUUAAUGUUUCUUAUUAGGCUAACUGACUCAUCGCUGCAGUGGCUUGUUAUCUUUUGUUUUGAAGGUCAGAAAUUAAGUCUGAGCUGUCAGCUAAUGGCUGAUUUCAAGACUUCAAAACUAACAGAAAAAUAAGGAACAGAGAACCUGUUAACAUGACACUUUAUGAAAAUUGAUACUUAUUUCAAAUUAGAACUAUUUUUUCAAUACACCAUGUUAUACACAACCAUACAGUAGCUAUACUUGGGACACUAUCAUUGUAUUGGAGCCACACAAAUGUGAUUACUCUUAUCCUAAAAUUUAGAUGUAUGCUUUAUCUGGACAACUAUUAAAUACAAUAAUAAUAAUUUAAAACUUUAAAAUGAUCCACUGACUCUACAUUACAAUCCAAUCAAGAGCAGUAAGGCAGUACAGCAAUGAAGAUGUUCAUAACAGGGGCUUCUGUAGUGAUGAUGAACAAUAUGGUCUGCAUAAUAGCUUUGUUCUACUCGCUUAGCCUCUCCUUCAGCCUUAGUCUCACAUGACUUUUAGUAAAUGUGACAAGUUGGAUUUA